GGCAUGAUUUUUUUUUAUUAAAAAAAACUUUCUUUAGUCUUAUUCUUAGUUUUUUUUUAUUUGCUUUUUAACUUGCUUAGUUACUUAGUCAAACUUUCUUUCUUUCAAAAAAAAAAAUCUCUACAUUGACACCUCAUAAUCUACUUAGGAAAUUAGAUACCUAAUCACAAAACUUAAAAAGUGAAACAAAUUAAUUUACUCUUGACCAACUACCAAAUCUGACCAUCUUUUCUUCUUGCAUUACAUAAUUUCAUAAAACAUCUUAAGAGCACAAACCCUAAAUAAGAUAAGGUGAAGAUUUCAUCAUCCUUCUUUGGUCCACAAACCAUUAUCUUACAUACUGCAUUGAUCUAAAUCUUAAUAUAAA
rnacentral:lncRNA from 1 species